CCUCCCAAAGUGCUGGGAUUACAGGCUUGAGCCACCGCGCCCGGCCUCUACUUUGUCUAAGAGUUUUAAUUAAUGGGAGUGCAUUUAUUUAUAUAUAAUUAUCUCUUCUAAUUACUGUAUUGCUGCUUUUCAUACAAAAUCUUUAAUCACUUUAUGUCUCAGUAAAAUGGAUUUUACCUACUUUAUAAUUAUCAUUAAAGUUUAAUAAUUUAAUAUAUAUACAAAUCAUAGAGCACUGCUUGCACAUGGUAAAUGCUAUAUAAGUGAUUGUUAUUGACAUAAUUCAACUUUCAAUAUUUUUAAAAUUUCACAGCAAUUUUUUUCUCUGACCUGUGAGGUACUUAGAAGUGUUAUUCCUAAUUUCCAAAAACAUAUUUCUCUAGCUAGCUGUUCCUCAACUUAUCAUGGGGGCUACAUCCCACAAUAAACACAUGAUAAAGUUGAAAAAUUGUAAGCUGAACCAUCAUAAGUCAGAGACUGUCUGUAUAUGUUUUCAAUAGUACCUAUUUAUUCACUAUUAAUUUUUGAUUUUACUUCAUGGUGGCCAAAAACAUGUAUUUUCUAAAAUACAACCUGAAGAGAUUUGUCAAAGUUUGCAUAAUGGGCUAAUAUGUGGAUGAACUAUCUUACUGUUGCAUCUUAAAACCCAUGUGUGCUUGGUGCUACAUGUAUGUAUUCUUUUGUUGUUAAAAGCACUGUUCUAUGGAUUUCUUUUAAAUUAGUCUUACUAAUUAUGCUGUUCAAAUAUUCUAAUUUUUGAAAUAUACUUUUCUAUCAAUUAUUAUAGAGUAUGGGUAAAAAUCUACUAUGAUUGUGGAUUUUGUGGAUUUGUGCAUUGAUCCUUUAAAUUAAAUGAAUGUUGGCAUUAUAUAUUUAAGUCUGUGUUAUUAAGUUUAUACAAGUUUAAAUUUGUUAUAUCAUCUUUCUGAAUGGCAGUUUAUCAAUAUCUCAUUACUUUGUCAGGUCUAUACUCUUUCAAUACAAUUAAAACAGCUUUUUAAGUUUUCACAAAUAUUUUUCUGGUAUAGAUUUUUUCAUCCUUUUGUUUUCUACCUUUUGUAUUUUUAUGGUUUUAAUUGUCUCUUCAAAAUGGCUUAUAGCUUUCAUUUUUUCUUAAUCCAGUUUGAUAAUUUCAGACUUUUAUUAGAGUAUUUAGUCUAUUUGCACUAAUUGUAUUUAAGGAUUUAUUUAGAUUUAUUCCUAUCAUUAUUUUUUAUAUUUUCUUCUUUUGUAUAUUGCUUUUUCUCUUCUCUUUUGCUUUAUUUGGAUUGAUUGAGCACUUUUCAUUCAUUUGAUCAUUUCCUCUAGUAGUAGGGAAGUGGUUUUUGUCAUGAUAGACUCAGGUAUACUCGGGGUGGUGGUUCAAACCAAGAUACUUUUGUGAAUGGGAGGAUCCACUGUUCAUAAUUAUGCUAGGAACAAACCCUGACUGUUCUGUGCACACCACAAAAUAUAUCAGCUUUAAAUACACAGCAGUAAUAAACAACCUUAAAGUAUCGGUAACUGAGCAACAACAAAAAGUGUAUUUCUCAUUCCGGCUACAUGCCCAUUGAGAGUCAGCAGGACAGGCUCUCCAGGUCAUUGUUUUUGAGGGACCCGGCCUGAUGUACGCUCUACCUUACCCCGUGAUUUUAUGACCUCGCAGUAGUGGGAAGUCAAAAUCACACGGUGAUUUUGGCAGUGCUCUCCCAUGAUGUAAAAUAUGCAUGGGGUAUCCAAAUGCAGGAGCUGAGGAGAUUUAAAUAACAAAAGACUUCUAAAAGGAGUCCUGAAAAUAAAAUUUAGAGUGAAACAUUUUUUGUUUGAGAGUAGGUAAAAUGAGAGUAGGUUAUUUGAUUUAAUAGUGGUCUCUUUGGAUCUCUAAAAAUCUUUGCAUGUGCAUUCAAAAAGUAAAUAGAAAUAGUAAAUGCCAGUUGAUUGAAAAUCAUGAUACUUUUGAGAUGAUACUAAAUUUUUACAAUAUGAUAUAAAUCAGAAUAGUGUAGACAGCCAAUUUACAUAAUUCAACCCCAGAAAAUUAACUACAUACAUUCACUAUGUAAUGACUUAAUUCACUUAAGUUGAGCCAAGUGUCAUAAAUUUGCAAUGAACAUUUUUACUUUUUAAAAAAUGAGCUAAUUUUAGAUUUGUCACAGAAAACUACUAUUCAUUGACAUCGCAAAUUGGAAUUAUUAACAGAAAAGCUCAUUUCAAAUAUGGAGAACAUAAGAGAGUGUAGUGAUUGGGAUGUGUUCUCAACAUCAAACUGUAAGAAGAAAAUUUAAUAGCCAGAACUUGAGAAAAAUAUAAUGGGCUACCCGAUGAAUCACUUGGCAGGAAUAUUAUCAAUGGAAUUAAAUAAUGGCCUACUGUCAGUUUAAUUCAAUCAUCUCUUUAGUUAGUAUAUCAAAUUUCAUUCGUAUAUUAUGAGAGGUGAUGCCAUCAUUUUAUCUGCCUGUCUCAUUCUGACUAUAGAAUUUGAGCAACUUCACCAUUCUUCGUUCUUGUUUUGAUGGUCAAAGUUGCUGAAUAAUUGCUUCUUUCCUCCUUUGUGUGUCUUAGGACAAAUACAGCACAAUCUCAGAGUUAACUUAACAUCCAAACUGUUAUUACAUUCUCUGUCCUCAGUUAGUUGGUAGAAUUAUAAUCAGUUAAAAACAGAUUUAAAAAAAAACAGCUUUUACUGAACAUGGAUAUAUAGCAGUGCUACUUUAUAAAAUAAUAGUGUGGCUAAUAUAAUGGCAUUUAUUUAAACAAUUAUUGAGAUUAUUUUUCUCAUCUCUCCUCAUUUUCUGACCUGAGAAAUACAGUUCCAAGUUCACGAGUGAAUGUAAAUGAAGAAACAGGGAAAGCAUUUUAGAAUUUCUUGAAAUCUGGCACCAGGACUGAUUGUACAUAUGUAUAUAUACACUCAUGCAUGUGUGUGCCUAUGUAUGUGUGCAUAUGUGUAUACGUAUGUGUGUAUGAAUAUAUGUAUUUAAUCAUCAUGGGCUGGUAUAUCUGGUUAGAACAAAGUACAAGUAAACCCCAAGUAAUGAGUAAGAUUCCCUCCAGAUCCAGCUAAUUAUUUGAACAUACCCUUUUCAUCACAGCACGUCACUGCUGCAAACAUUGGAAUGCUUUCCCAUGGUUUACUAAACAAAGUACAAAGCUGUCUGACAAUGCAGAUCACAGCAAAGAUCCAAGUGAUGCAUGCCCUUCGGCAGGAUCUUCCCCACCCUGGGUCUCAGUUUUAUCUUCUAGAAAAUACACGUUCAAGAGUGAGAUUUGCAGCUUCCUCCCUGCUCAGACCUCAUGAUUUUGACUGUGAAACCCAUUCAUAUAACUUCAUUAUUCUUAUUCCCAUGUGAGAAGAUGUUUUUUCUCAUGUGCAGGCUGUUUACUAAAGGGCCACACAGCAUGUUACCUUCAAUCCGUAGACAUUUCUGGGAGUCAGCUGCGUGCACUGCAGUUGAAGAUGAGAACUAUUGAAUGCUUACCCAGUGCCAGGCCUGUGUCUCCACGCCUCUCGCCUGUCCCCCCUUAGCACCCUAUGAGGUCGACACUGUGGUCACCCUCCCUUGGCAGGUGCAGAGCAGAGGUGAGGAGGGUAAUGACUUGGUUGGCCUGUCUGACUCGGAAGCGCUGUCUUGCUCACCUCCAGUGUGCUGGGACAGCAGCACAGGAACCACCUCAGAGGUGCUCUGGAGAGAGUGACCAGCACCCACCCUUCCAUGCUGCCAGGGGUUCUUCGAUGUGUCCAGUCUUCUCCUCCCAGCUGCGGGCCUCGAGCAUUUAUCUAAAUGUUUCGCCUCCUUCAGACCCUACCUUGCUUUCUCCUCUCCCACUGUGGGUGGGCUGGCCUCCUACCCCCUGAGAAAAUCAAGGACAGUGAGGAGGAGUGCUGUGGACUUCCCCUCUUUAUCUUCAUCAGCUGCACGGGCAGCUGUGCCUUCCUGCUUUGCCCUGGUCUCCUGGUUAUGAAAGCCAAAUCCCCCACGCAGCUGAGUCCCUUUCCCUCCUGCCUUCUUAUGCUCCUGCACUGUCCUCAACUCCUAUCUCUCUUUAUGUUCAGCUGACCCCCCUCAUCCCUACCCUUCGCUUCACACGCCAUUGACAUAGUUGAGCUCACUCCACCUCGAAAAGCCUCUCCCUGAACUCUGAAUAUUCUCUAGCACAUGUGUGUCCACCUCCAUUUGCAGACAGUCCUGUUCUGUGCAGUUUCUUGUUCCUGGCCUUUAGCCCUAGUGAGCCCCUCCUUCAGAUUUUCCUCUCUUAUUUGUCUAUCAAAACAUUCUUCCCCUCAUAACAGGUGCCCCUCCCUCAAUGAGUUCACCAGUGUCAAAACACCUCCCACACCUUGGAGUAACCAUAAGAUUACUUGCUUCUCUCUCCUACUGAACUUUUAGUGUUUUGAGGAUGGAGACCUUGCCAUAGCACGGUUCUACCUUCCAGCAGUACCAGGCACCUGGAGUCCUGGGCCAUAUUCAUUUCAUGCCCCUAUAGAUGCUGAUUAAAGGCCUUUCCCUUCCCAAUCCCCUGCUAAACUCCAACACAUUCUUGCAGACCCAGGUCAAGUCUCUUCUAUGUACCUUCUGAAAACCUACUCAGUGGAAAUCCUUACUAUUAUUACUAACAUCACUUUUUGCACUAUUUGUCCUCUUGAUCUUUCUCUUAGUGGUUUGUGAAGUUUUUAUAUAUUGCUGUUUUUAUGUCUCCAGGACCUGAAACUGUACUAGGUACAUGGUAGGCACUCAACAAAUAUUUAUUGAAUGAAUGGAUCAAUCAACCAAUCAAACUAUGCAAAAUAAAGAGCAUAAGACUGUGAGAGAGGAGACGAAAGCCUGGCUGGGAGGGAAAGGCCAUAAGGAGUAAUAAGAUAGGAAAGUGUUAGGGUGUGUGGGAGAUCACAAAACAGUAUUUUCAGCGGUCUCCGUUGAGAGUUGACAUCUGCUUUUCCACCCCUCGAAUCUAGGUUUGGCCUUGCAACAGAUGGACCAACAGAACACUAGGAAACACGAUUCAAGUAGCAUCUUGAAAUGUGAUCCUGCAUUGGGGGUCCCCUCUCUUCACUGCACCCGGAACUUCCUCCAAGAAACAGUGGUCUGUGUGGGCACAAAUGAGCUACAGCACGUAUAAGUCAAUGGGAAGAAAGGAAAUGCUCACUAUGCUAGAAGUGACAGUAGAAACUUCCAUUGUGUGUGACUGGAGAGGCACAAAUGAAGGGCAUCUCCCAAACAGGCUUCAUCUUUUGGGAGUGUGAGAGGAGUGACAGUUUAAGGAGGCUUCACAGGCGUCCAUACAACCACAGGAUGAACAGCCUUUUAGAAGUUACUGUUGCCCUUCCAGGAAGACAAGUUUCAUUGCCUGACCCUUUUGUUUCGCCCCAAACCAUCAGGAUAACUGAAAGCCACUCCAACAUGUUGAUUGGGGUAGCCGAGGAAUGAUGCAGACCAGAGCAUCAGAGUAGGUGACAGGCAUUUGACAGUGGACACCCAAAAAAGCACUACUUACAAUAGCAAAAACUUAGAACCAAU